AUGUCAUUGCUUGAGAUCUUUUUUCCUUCUUCCCAUAGCCUCUGGCCAGUAUUGGGUAGUCAUGCCGCUCAGCUAUCUACACCUAUGUGCCCUAUUUGUUGCAAGGAUAUUCUUCUGAUUCAGGAAAAUAACUCAAUGAAGAAGGAAAAUCACAUCAAAAGAAAAUAUUCUGCAAGAAGAUGUCUAGAAUAGGCACAGUAUAGUGAAGAUGAUCUACUCAGACUGGGAAAGCAAGAAUGGGCUCAUUUAAAUACUACAGCAUCGCUGCGAAGAGUACAUGAAUGUGUGAACUGUUUUUUAAACUGAUGUAUUUUCUGUCUCACGAAGUCAGACAGAACAUAAGCGUAAUAUCUGAAACAUUUUUCAUUAUUAAAAAGUUAUUACUGAUAGUGGAUUUACAAAUAUUACUCAGUAUUUACUGGAAUUGUGUUUAAAUAUAACACGUCUAUUUUGCAGUAAUUAGAAGAAUGCUCUACCAAACUUAAAAUAUUCCCACGAUACACAGAUCACAUCUAAAUUAUUUGGAAAUGUUUAUCAAGACCCUAUUUUUGUCAGAAUUCUUGUUGACUUCAGUGGGAACUCUGUCUGAGAAAGGACUAAAUGAUAUCCAAGAAAGGACUGUAGAAUUUGACUUCAAAUGACCACAAAAACCCUAGUAGUAAGCAGAUCUUCACCUCCUUCUUUUUUAAACAGAGAAGAGUGAGCUUCAGUUAAGUUUGGUGGGUUCAAUAACAUCUCUUUUAGCUAGAAAAUGUAUCUGAGGGAAAUUUCUCAGUAUUUCCUCAAUAAACUGUCUGAUAGUUCCCCUUGGAGAAAGAAU
rnacentral:lncRNA from 1 species